rnacentral:lncRNA from 1 species
AAACUUUAUAUAAUUUUGAAUAAUGCUACUCCUACACGGCCAAAGAAGUAUAGGAUAUGUGGAUCGUUAACGCUAAUCAAUUAUCGCAAAAACACCUGCUGAUAGGAAGGGCGCACCCAUUACAUUUAAGGGCUCAGUUACAGCGCUUGCAAGCUUCGACCUAACUUAACAUUUUUUGUUGGGCCUCUUACCGUUAGGUCUCUUAUAGACCGUACUUCCACUAAACUUAUUAGACUUACCCAACUCAACUUAUUAAUUUUCUAAAUCCAUUAAUUAUCAUGGAACAAAAUACUGAACAUAUUUUAGUCCAAUAUUAAAUAGCCAAUAGGAUAUACACCCCACACUUGAAUGCGUGGGGUGUAUAUCAAAUAAUUACGUGCUAUCCCGUGCCGUACGGCAGGGAGCGUGUCAUACCGUGCCUCCGAAGGAGUAUAGAAUAUGUUAAAAUCGGAACGGCGAAAAAUAGAUCCAGAAAAUAACUUAAUGCAGGAAACGAAAAGAUAAGCGGAAAGAACACACCGAUAUUUACGUGGUUUGGCCAACGGCCUACGUCCACGGGUGAAAACGGAGCAAAUAAUUUAUUAAUGUCGAAAAGGCGGAGUACAAAGAAGAUCUCUCGAAGAAAACCGAAAACGAAAGUAAAUAUAUAUUCGACGCGCGUUACCGCAUACGGCACCUUCUUAGCACGUCCUGACAAUAUAUCCUGGCUCGGCUCACCAAAACAAGGAUGUACGGCACCAUGCACAUUGGCUGAUGGUGUUGCUGCCACCGUACACCAUCACAAGCCACUUAAUUAAUUAGUGCAUCACAACUCCUCUGCGGAAGAAAGCAACCUCAACUUUAAUUAAUUAGCAU